rfam:Triticum urartu cultivar G1812 contig330215, whole genome shotgun sequence.
UUACUACUCCCUCCGUUCCAAAUUACUCGUCACAGAAAUGGACGAAUCUAGAACUAAAAUACAUCUAGAUACAUCUAUACCCGCGACAAGUAAUUCGGAACGGAGGGAGUACUAC